AAUGUAUGACACCGCUGAUUUUUUAUCCGACGUUAGACCAUUCGUCUUAUUCAAAAAAUGUUUGUAAUUAUCAUUCAUUUUAUUAUGACUUGAUUCGUCAUCAAAUGUUCUUUAAGCAUGACUUAAAUAUUUUUAUAUUUGCACAAAAAAAUUUUGAAUAAAACGAAUGGUCAAACGUUGGUCGAAAAGUCAACGGUGUCAUACAU
rnacentral:pre_miRNA from 1 species